UGGGCCACCUGAUGAUGAUGAUCAGCAGACGAUGACAGAUGAUGAUGGACUGCCCGAUGACAGAAGAUGAUGGACUGAAGACUAGUUUGAUGGGUGGUAUUAUUCAGUUUUCUUGCAUUCUAUCCUGUGCAUGCUUGUUUUCCUGGUGGUCUGCACUGAAUGUGUAAUACAUUAAGUGAAAUUCCUAUUUCCCAUUUUGACAUUGAUGAUAAAUAAAAAUUCCGGAUUGCAUGCAGAACAAUUAAAUUAAUGUAUACAGCAUGUUUGAUUCUUUGAAAAUGCAUGUUCCUGUUUUAUCACUUAAUGUGUAAUGCAAUUGGUGAAAUUAAUGCAUGAUAUUACUAAAGUAUCCAAUGGUGCAGCUGAAAAUGAUGAAGCAUGAACUCAACUUGAAGAAUGGAAUUCGUACACAGGUAACUGUGAACAAGAACCAGGUAUGCAUAUGAUUGUAUUUGUUUGUUGGCACGUAAGGCAUUGGCAUCAAAAAUUUGCAACAAAAUAUUACAGUAAUGCGCCACAAGAUUGAUUUCUGUCAGUGCAUGUGCGAAUGAAAAUAGCCAAAAUAAUAGCAUGAAUUAUAGGUGGUUGAUGUAUUUUAACAGGUAUCAGAUCCGAAAUUAGCUGUAAAAUAUUUCGGUUAUGCAUGCCACAAUUUAACAUAAAAUACAUUGUUUUAAUUAGGGUAUAAUUGGCUUUCUAAGUGCAUGUGAUGGUAAAAAUAUUUGCCAGAGUAAUUUAUAAUAGCAUGAUUAUAGACGACCGUAUUCUUACAUGUAUAAGAUCAACAAUUAGGUGUAAAAAUAUUUUGUUUAUGCAUGCUACAACAUAGAACACAUUGCUCUAAUUAGGAAAAUUGAUUUUCUAGGUGCAUGUGACGGUAAAAAUAAUUGCCAGAGUAAUAGCAUGAUUAUAUACGACCGUAGUUAAUUCUUACAUGUAUAAGAGCAAAAACUAGCUGUAAAAAAUUUUGUUUAUGCAUGCCACAACAUAAAAUACAUUGCUCCAAUUAGGGUAAUUGACUUUUCAAGUGCAUGUGAUGGUAAAAAUAAUUGCAUAACAUGUAUAAGAUCAAAAAUUAUCUGAAAAAUAUUUUGUUUAUGCAUGCCACAACAUAAAAUACAUUGCUCUAAUUAGGGAAAUUGACUUUUAAGGACUUGCAAAACCAGUUAAGUAAAUUAUAAAUACAAUAUAUUAUAAUAAUUUUUUAUUUAUUUCUAUUUAUCAAGUAAAAAUAGUUGCCAAAUAGUUAGCAAGUUUAGUUAAAUAUUACCGGCCGGUAUAGACAGCAGAUUAGUUUAGUUUUCAUAGGAUAGUGAAUGGUAAUAGUUUAGUUUAGCUAUGCUCUAUAAGGAUUUUUUUACUUCUAAUCUAUCAGAGUUUACAUUGAAACCUGGAACUUUAAUAAAUUAAAUAAAUUUUUAUUUAUCAGUUUUUAUUUUCGAAGUUCGUGGGAAAGCAUGAAAAUAGCAUAUAGAAAAAGAAAUUGAUGAUAUUUUGAUGGUUAGAAUAAGUUCGAAUCUUGAAUAGAAUGAAGUGUAUUAAUUAAGGGUGAAGGUUAAUUGGAAUCAAUUUGUGAAUGGAAUAAUUAUCUAUUAUUAUUUAUUAUUAUAUAUUAUUAUGUUGAAAUAUCACCGUAAUUCUUCUAAAUUGGAUUUCUGGAACUUCAAGAAAUUUGUUCUGGUUUUUGAAAGGAGUUAUCUCUAGUGUUUUUUUGAUUACUUGUAUAUGAAAUGUUGCUUGCAAAAUAAUCGACACAAUAGAGAGUAAUUUGACUUCGUCUACAAUUGUACUGAUCUCUAUGUAGUAUUAUUACGUUUGUCAAGUCUUUGCAACUGAUCUCUAACAGCUAAUUAACUGAAUUAGUGAGAGUUACACGCGCUCGAUUUUUUUUGCCACUGAUCUCUAUACAGUCACUGGAUGACAUGCUUAUAUUUCUGCGUCUGAUCUCUAUGUAGUAACUGAACAACGCUAUUGCAGCUGAUCUCAAUAGAUUAAUAGGAAUAUCGAUUUGACCAGGUUAAAUAAACGAUAGUCGUCGAUUGUAACGAUGGAUUUAUGAUGAUAUAGAUUUUAAUGAUGUUUUACUUUGGCCAGGUUUUAUAACAAUGUUAAGAUAUUACUAAAAUUUUCUAAGGACUUGCAAAACCAGUUUGAAUAGAUUGAUGCAAUUCACUUCGGCCAGAAAUGGCACAAUCGACUUGACAACUGUCCCAGUGUAGCGUAGAUUUGGAUAUACAUACUGAGCGGUCAGCAUGGAUCCUGAAGAUUUCAAGUUUGGGUUGACGAAAGUAUUUUUUAGACCAGGAAAGUUAAGAUUAUUGUAUCAUUGUUAAAGUUAUUGAUUUAUUGAAAGGUUUCCACUAAAAUAUGGCUAAAUUCAUUUUCAUUUUUGUAAUUUGCAACAUUUGAUCAUAUAUUGCAGUCAGAUCCUGAGAGUCUAAAAGCUCUUGUAUCGAAAGUUUCAAGGUGGAUCAUUGUCAAUUGCUGGAAGAAAGUGAUAUGCAGUGGCAAACAAGAUCAAGUUCAGAGCAAAAGCUUGGGCCACGAUUCAGAAGACCGUCAAAAUGUUCCUCUUGUGGAAAUAACACCAGCCAAGUUUCAGGUUUAAAAACCGACAAGAAUGUUUUGACCACACAGAUUUUUGAUAUCGAAAAGGAAAUAUCAGCUGCUAUGCAGAAAAUCAAGAAGUAAGAACACGGUAAUGAGCCGUGAUCAGAUCGAGAAUCUCCACCGUGGUCUUGUGGCGAAGGUGCAUGGACAAACAAGUCGUAGAUUUACAGAAGCAAAAAGAACUUCAGGAGAAGAGGGAGGAAGAAGAGAAGUUGAGGAAAAUCAAAGAACAGAUGGAACUGGAAAGAAAAAGGCGAGAAGAGGAGGAAAGGAGAAGAAAACAACUCGAAGAAGAAGCGAGAAUUAAAGCUGAAAUGGAAGCCAAAAGGCGAAGGGCAGAAGAGGAAGAAAUGAAACGACGGGAACUUGAAAAAGCGAAACAGAAAGAAAUUGAGGAACAAUUAAGGAAAGAGGAUGAAGAGGCAAAAUCUCGACAAGCUGCUCUUGAACAAGAGAGAUUAGAUCACGAACUGGCCUUGCGUUUGGCAAAGGAAUCCAAUUUGAAUGUAUAUAGAACCCAUGGAGGAACAAAAAGCUAUUAUAAGAGCGGCUUCCUUGAAAGAUCCGAAUAAGAAAUAUGACCUGAGUAAAUCAUGGAAAUAUGCUGAGUUAAGAGACACCAUCAACACCUCGUGCGAUGUCGAGUUAUUACAAGCUUGUAAACAAGAGUUCCAUCGCCGUCUUAAGGUUUAUCAUCAGUGGAAAAAUAAGGCAUCGAAGUCAACAGGUCAAAGUGCUGGUGAUCAAAGAGCACCUCAAGAGGUCGUGGAAGAAGGUAAACAUUGUUGGUAACCAAGGAUGCAUCUGGUAAGACUUCCCUUAUUGAUAGAUUCAAUGCUGGUAAAUUUCCAUCAAUUACCUCUGUGUCAUGUUACUCUUGAGUCUUGUUACAAGCUAAUGGCUGUGAAUAAUAUUCCUGUGGAGUUUAUGAUAUAUUAAUUGCAGUAGAAGAUUAUGAAGACAAGAUCUUUAAUGUAAUGUUAUUCAGUUGACUCAAAAGAGAGUUUUGAAAGUUUUUCCAGUGUAUGGUGGCCAGAGAUCAGUGCUGCUCGCAUAAGGAAACCAUUUUUAUUAGUUGGACUAAAAAAGGAGCUUCGUCCUGGCAAACAAACGCAUGAACUGAGUAGGUGAAAGCUAAUGAAGGUAAAAAACUUACAAAAUAUAUUGGUGCCGUAGGUUUUUAAGAGUGCUCAUCAGUUACUAAUGAAUGAAACAAUGAGAUUUUUGAAAUGGCAGUAAACAAGUGCGAGAUUGUAGUAAAAAAGAAAGGGGAGCUCAAAAAUCAAGCUUGGGUGUAUAUCUGUUGUUGCAAGACAAACUAAUGAAGUACUUGAAAUUUAAAUCAUUAUAUAUUUCAAGUUUGCCCUGAAUACCUGAGAUGUUUGAAAUGACACUGGAAAGGGAUACAGGUUUGUAGUCUGGUGUGCAAUUUUCCACGGGCAGAGAGGGUUGGCUGACGGCUAUUUUCCAUUUACAAAACACUCAGAAUCUUAUAAAGGACAAAGCAGACCCUGAAAUAACUCAAAAACUAACCAGGUAUUUUCGGUGGUUCCAUUUCGGAGUUUGCAAAUAUCGAAAAAUAAACGAAAUGGUAAAAGAAAAUUGCUACCAGGAACCGAGAAAAAAAGUUGUUAUAGUUUUAGUUUGAAAAGAUUAACGCGAAAAGAGAAGGCUUUUAUAUCAAGCUAAGAGUAUUUUCCAUUAAUCGCUUCACGGAGAGGAAUUUUGCUAAUCACUUACAACGGACAAUAGAAAUAUGCAAAACAUAUUUAUUUGGCUAAUUUAUAUCCAUUCCGGGCAAGUCUGACAUGAGUUAGUUGAUUAUCUAUUGUUGUCAAUGCGUUAAUUGUCCGUUGGAAUUUUCUUUGUUUGUUGAAGUAAUAAAAGGCGGUUGAAUCUAGACGAAACUCAGUCUUUGCAGUCUCGAAAAGGAAGCAUCAGUCAAAGAAGUUCACUAGGAAAAGUUGGAAGAUUCUUGCAGAACGAACUACGGCGCCGAAAGAUGGGGAAGGAGAAACGUAAAGGCUUGCUCGCAGCGAGUAAUAGGUAUUAUUAUUCAUAUCAUACUUUUGUUGUCAGAUGAUGAAGGAUCGUCGCAGCAUCAGAUGUUGAAGAAUCGUCGCAGG